rnacentral:rRNA from 1 species
GCCCAGACUCCUACGGGAGGCAGCAGUGGGGAAUAUUGCACAAUGGGGGAAACCCUGAUGCAGCGACGCCGCGUGAGCGAUGAAGUAUUUCGGUAUGUAAAGCUCUAUCAGCAGGGAAGAAGAUGACGGUACCUGACUAAGAAGCCCCGGCUAACUACGUGCCAGCAGCCGCGGUAAUACGUAGGGGGCAAGCGUUAUCCGGAUUUACUGGGUGUAAAGGGAGCGUAGACGGCGAUGCAAGCCAGAUGUGAAAGCCCGGGGCUCAACCCCGGGACUGCAUUUGGAACUGUGUGGCUGGAGUGUCGGAGAGGCAGGCGGAAUUCCUAGUGUAGCGGUGAAAUGCGUAGAUAUUAGGAGGAACACCAGUGGCGAAGGCGGCCUGCUGGACGAUGACUGACGUUGAGGCUCGAAAGCGUGGGGAGCAAACAGGAUUAGAUACCCCUGUACAU